AUUGAACGCUGGCGGCAUGCUUUACACAUGCAAGUCGAACGGCAGCGCGGGCUUCGGCCUGGCGGCGAAUGGCGAACGGGUGAGUAAUGCAUCGGAACGUGCCCAGUAGUGGGGGAUAGCCCGGCGAAAGCCGGAUUAAUACCGCAUACGACCUGAGGGUGAAAGCGGGGGACCGAAAGGCCUCGCGCUAUUGGAGCGGCCGAUGUCGGAUUAGCUAGUUGGUGGGGUAAAGGCUUACCAAGGCGACGAUCCGUAGCUGGUCUGAGAGGACGACCAGCCACACUGGGACUGAGACACGGCCCAGACUCCUACGGGAGGCAGCAGUGGGGAAUUUUGGACAAUGGGGGCAACCCUGAUCCAGCCAUGCCGCGUGCGGGAAGAAGGCCUUCGGGUUGUAAACCGCUUUUGUUCGGGAAGAAAUCCUCUGGGCUAAUACCCCGGGGGGAUGACGGUACCGGAAGAAUAAGCACCGGCUAACUACGUG
rnacentral:rRNA from 1 species